rnacentral:rRNA from 2 species
UGAGAGUCUAACUGUCUCUUUUAGUCAAUCAAUUAAACUGAUCUCCUAGUAAAAAAGCUAGAAUAUUUACAUAAGACCAGAAGACCCUGCGAAGCUUAAACCAAACUAUUAAAUCACAUAAUAGCUACUUUCGGUUGGGGCGACCUUGGAAAAAAAAAGAACUUCCAAACACAAUGAUUUUAAUCAUAUACUAGGCCCACAAGCCAUAAACCUAUGACCCAGCUAAAGCUGAUAAUUGAACCAAGUUACUCCAGGGAUAACAGCGCUAUCUUCUUCAAGAGCCCAUAUCAAAAAGAAGGUUUACGACCUCGAUGUUGGAUCA